CUAGAAACAAAAUGGGUCCCAUGUGCUUACUCCUUAAUAGCCGAGGUGUAGGGUCAAACUAUGGCUUUAGGAAGCAUACAAGGGAAAAACUGUAACAUGUAUGACAUGUUUACAGUAUACAGGCAUUAGGUUAGAUGCCUUUACACAGGCUAUCCAAUCCUCAGUACCUAAGAGAGAGAGGUGAUUUCCUGAACAUCUUUUAAAAUUGCUGCGACUGAUGCUUGUUUUUGAGACUGAGUUUCAUGUAGCCCAGGCAAACUCCAACUUACUAUGUAGCUGAGGACCUUGAAUUUCCUAUCCACCUUCUUCCACCCACUGAGUUCGAGAAUCAUAGGUGUGUGUCUCACCACAUCUGGUCUUUAGUGGGGCUUCGUGCAUGCUAGGCAACCACCCCGCUGACUGAGGAAGAGGACCUUCCAUUCUCACACUAGGUUGGAGCCUGGGACAGCAGUGAGUCCUAAAGAUUUCCAUCAAGGGAGAAGAACUCCACAGCCUGGCCUAGAGGAGCCAGCCCCAUCCUCGCUGCCUUCACCACAGCCUGCACUUUAUUAGAAUUUAUACGUUGCCCCGAUUGAGGGGGAAAAUAAUUAACAUCCCUACAAAUAUAUCGUAAACAAAAUAUUUAUUAGAAAUAAAUAACUCAUUUAUUUUACAUAUUUCAUUUCAACAAUAACAUUACCCAAUUUAUCAUUUAACAUUUUUGCAAGACAACUUAACGACUACUUAUUAGCAUUUCCAUUUUUCACCCGCGCACCAUAAAGCACGGGCGCUCCCCAAAUGGCCUGGCACAGGCCUAGCCAGGAGCCUAGAACACCCUGGGGAGGGUUGUGGAUCCCCUGGCCCUUUCCCAACUCUGACACACUGCAAUGUAUGGACUGCUGACAGCUGAUAACAAGCAC
rnacentral:lncRNA from 1 species